GGGCGGCGGGCGGCGGGCGGAAGGCAUCACUUUGUCCGGACUCUAAUUCAAAUUGUAUUCAUCCGAUCUUCACCAAACUUGGUCAGCAGUUGCAUCUAGUUGAUAUCUAGGCCAAGUUCGAAUAUGGGUCAUGCCGGGUCAAAAACUAGGUCAUAGGGUCAAUAAGUGCAUUUUCAAAGGGGCCACUUUGUCCGGACUCUAUUUCAAAUUGUAUUCAUCCGAUCUUCACCAAACUUGGUCAGCAGUUGCAUCUAGUUGAUAUCUAGGCCAAGUUCGAAUAUGGGUCAUGCCGGGUCAAAAACUAGGUCAUAGGGUCAAUAAGUGCAUUUUCAAAGGGGCCACUUUGUCCGGACUCUAUUUCAAAUUGUAUUCAUCCGAUCUUCACCAAACUUGGUCAGCAGUUGCAUCUAGUUGAUAUAUAGGCCAAGUUCGAAUAUGGGUCAUGCCGGGUCAAAAACUAGGUCAUAGGGUCAAUUAGUGCAUUUUCAACGGCGCCACUUUGUCCGGACUCUAAUUCAAAUUGUAUUCAUCCGAUCUUCACCAAAUUUGGUCAGAAGUUGUGUCUAGAUGAUAUGUAGGUCAAGUUCAAAUAUGGGUCAUGCCGGGUCAAAAACUAGGUCACGAGGUUACUUAGUGCAUUUCAAGCAUUUAGCAUGGUGUCCGCUCUCUAAUUGAAGUAGUUUUCAUCUGAUCUUCACCUAAUUUGGUCAGAAGUUGUGUCUAGAUGAUAUGUAGGUCAAGUUCGAACAUGGGUCAUGCCGGGUCAAAAACGAGGUCAUAGGGUCAAUAAGUGCAUUUUCAAAGGGGCCACUUUGUCCGGACUCUAUUUCAAAUUGUAUUCAUCCGAUCUUCACCAAACUUGGUCAGCAGUUGCAUCUAGUUGAUAUAUAGGCCAAGUUCGAAUAUGGGUCAUGCCGGGUAAAAAACUAGGUCAUAGGGUCAAUUAGUGCAUUUUCAACGGCGCCACUUUGUCCGGACUCUAAUUCAAAUUGUAUUCAUCCGAUCUUCACCAAACUUGGUCAGUAGUUGCAUCUAGUUGAUAUCUAGGUCAAGUCCGAAUAUGGGUCAUGCUGGGUUAAAAACUAGGUCAAAGGGUCAAUUAGUGCAUUUUACUUUGUCCGGACUCUAAUUCAAAUUGUAUAAAUCUUAUCUUCACCAAACUUGGUCAGUAGUUGCAUCUAGUUGAUAUCUAGGCCAAGUUCGAAUAUGGGUCAUGCCAGGUAAAAAACUAGGUCAUAGGGUCAAUUAGUCCAUUUUCAACAGCGCCACUUUGUCCGGACUCUUAUUCAAAUUGUAUUCAUCCGAUCUUUACCAAACUUGGUCAGUAGUUGCAUCUAGUUGAUAUCUAGGUCAAGUUCGAAUAUGGGUCAUGUCGGGUCAAGAACUAGGUCAUAGGGUCAAUUAGUGCAUUUUCAACGGCGCCACUUUGUCCGGACUCUAAUUCAAAUUGUAUUCAUCCGAAACUUUUAAACAACUUUUUAUCCUGCGUCAAAGUGGUAUGGGGGUAUAAGUCACAUUCAGUGACAAAGCUCUAGUUCAAGUUGAAUUCACCAAACUUGGUCAGAGGUAGUAUAUAGAUUAUAUAUCAGUCAGGUCUGAUUGGAGACAUGCAACCGAUUAACACAUGCAAUAUUUUUAUGCAAUAUUUUUAUCCAGUUUUAUUUUGCGAUAUUUUCAUCGGGUUUAUUUUUUUCGCGAUUUUUGAAAUUUUUUUUUGCUUAUUUCCAAAACAAAUACAUCAAUCAUCAGUGUAUCAUCUCCAAUGGCACACGAAUCGGGCGUAUAUUGCUCCGUCAUGCGGCGCUCU